GGCAAUGUUUUCGUCUACCAAUACAAAGCUACAUAGAAUACUUGUACAGACAUGGAUGUUUAAGACAUUAUUGAUUCCAAUUGAGAAUUCCUGAAUAGGACCUAAAUUCUGCAUUCCAAUAAGCUGCAUAGUGAUACAGACUACGCUGUGAGUAACAAGGCCCUAAACCACUUUCUGUCACUGACAUGAAGCACCUUCUUCCCACAUUUCUCACUAAUCUGAAAGUUCCCACUACUGUAGCUGGCAAGGCACUGCUACAUGUCAAAGUUCAAAGAGAUUGUGAUCUGGAUAAGAGCAAAUGCCAAUCAAGUUACUGAAUGCCUCCUUAGUAAGAGGAAAUCAGAGACAGUAUAAGCUGAAUAAAAUUAUAAAGAUGCUUCAUAAAAAGCAUCCAUGUUCACAAAGCCAACGUGGAGAACAUUCUACAAAAGUAUUGAUCUGUACUAAACAGAGAAAGGCAGAGGAACCUGUCCAGAUAAGAGAAAGCUAAGAAAAGACAUUCAACAAUUGAAGGUAAUGGAUUUCAUCCUGGGUCAAGAAAAGCAAAACCCUUCAUGACAUUAUUUGGUC
rnacentral:lncRNA from 13 species